UGGGGAAUUUUUGGACAAUGGGCGAAAGCCUGAUCCAGCAAUGCCGCGUGUGUGAAGAAGGCCCUUCGGGUUGUAAAGCACUUUUGUCCGGAAAGAAAUCCUUGGCUCUAAUACAGUCGGGGGAUGACGGUACCGGAAGAAUAAGCACCGGCUAACUACGUGCCAGCAGCCGCGGUAAUACGUAGGGUGCAAGCGUUAAUCGGAAUUACUGGGCGUAAAGCGUGCGCAGGCGGUUUGCUAAGACCGAUGUGAAAUCCCCGGGCUCAACCUGGGAACUGCAUUUGGUGACUGGCAGGCUAGAGUAUGGCAGAGGGGGGUAGAAUUCCACGUNUAGCAGUGAAAUGCGUAGAGAUGUCGGAGGAAUACCGAU
rnacentral:rRNA from 1 species